rnacentral:rRNA from 1 species
GCUGACACAACAACUAAGUCACAAAUAUACAUUGCUGAAUAAAACAAACCAUUUGACCAACCCAGUAGAUGCGAUCGAACAGUCACACGUCACAACAAAGUACCGCAAGGGAACCACCAUCAAGCAAUAAACAGCAAAGACUAAUCCUUGUACCUUUUGCAUCAUGAUUUAGCAAGAACACAAGAACAAGAAGAAUCACAGCUCUUUUCCCCGAAACCGAACGAGCUAUUUUUAAGCAGUCUAACGGACGCACCCCUCUAUGUAGCAAAAUAGUGGAAAGAC